rnacentral:rRNA from 1 species
CGGAGGAAGCUGAGGACGCGCUUGUGCCGCAGCAGGGAAGCGCAGCGU